rnacentral:rRNA from 1 species
CCUACGGGGGGCUGCAGUGGGGAAUAUUGGACAAUGGGCGAAAGCCUGAUCCAGCCAUGCCGCGUGUGUGAAGAAGGCCUUCGGGUUGUAAAGCACUUUCAGUGGGGAAGAAAGCCUUGGGGCUAAUACCCUCGAGGAAGGACAUCACCCACAGAAGAAGCACCGGCUAACUCCGUGCCAGCAGCCGCGGUAAUACGGAGGGUGCGAGCGUUAAUCGGAAUUACUGGGCGUAAAGCGCGCGUAGGCGGUCUGAUAAGCCGGUUGUGAAAGCCCCGGGCUCAACCUGGGAACGGCAUCCGGAACUGUCAGGCUAGAGUGCAGGAGAGGAAGGUAGAAUUCCCGGUGUAGCGGUGAAAUGCGUAGAGAUCGGGAGGAAUACCAGUGGCGAAGGCGGCCUUCUGGACUGACACUGACGCUGAGGUGCGAAAGCGUGGGUAGCAAACAGGAAUAGAUACCCGUGUAGUC